rnacentral:rRNA from 1 species
UACACUCCUACGGGAGGCAGCAGUGGGGAAUUUUGGACAAUGGGCGAAAGCCUGAUCCAGCAAUGCCGCGUGAGUGAAGAAGGCCUUCGGGUUGUAAAGCUCUUUUGUCAGGGAAGAAACGGUGAAAGCUAAUAUCUUUUGCUAAUGACGGUACCUGAAGAAUAAGCACCGGCUAACUACGUGCCAGCAGCCGCGGUAAUACGUAGGGUGCAAGCGUUAAUCGGAAUUACUGGGCGUAAAGCGUGCGCAGGCGGUUUUGUAAGUCUGAUGUGAAAUCCCCGGGCUCAACCUGGGAAUUGCAUUGGAGACGGCAAGGCUAGAAUCUGGCAGAGGGGGGCAGAAUUCCACGUGUAGCAGUGAAAUGCGUAGAUAUGUGGAGGAACACCGAUGGCGAAGGCAGCCCCCUGGGUCAAGAUUGACGCUCAUGCACGAAAGCGUGGGGAGCAAACAGGAUUAGAUACCCGGGUAGUCCCAUGAU